UAACUCAAUGCCAAACCUGUCGCGAGGCAGGGACGGAAAGCUACGGGGCUUAUAAGCUAGCCGGGUUGCAUCUU
rfam:Desulfopila aestuarii DSM 18488 genome assembly, contig: EJ45DRAFT_scaffold00079.79